rnacentral:rRNA from 1 species
GACGAACGCUGGCGGCGUGCCUAAUACAUGCAAGUCGAGCGGGCCUCCGGAGGUGCUUGCACCUCCGGAAGGCCAGCGGCGGGCGGGUGAGUAACACGUGGGCAACCUGCCUUUGAGGCCGGGAUAACACCGGGAAACCGGUGCUAAUACCGGAUGCGUCCCCUUUCGCGCCUGCGAGAGGGGAGAAAGACGGUCUUUAAGGCCGUCGCUCAAAGAGGGGCCCGCGGCGCAUUAGCUGGUUGGUGGGGUAAGGGCCUACCAAGGCGACGAUGCGUUGCCGACCUGGGAGGGUGAUCGGCCACACUGGGACUGAGACACGGCCCAGACUCCUGCGGGAGGCAGCAGUAGGGAAUCAUCCGCAAUGGGCGAAAGCCUGACGGUGCAACGCCGCGUGAGUGAGGAAGGUUUUCGGAUCGUAAAGCUCUGUUGUGAGGGAAGAACAGCUUCCGGAGGAAAUGCCGGAGGUUUGCCGGUACCUCACCAGAAAGCCCCGGCUAACUACGUGCCAGCCGCCGCCGUAA